GGCCUUGUGGUCUAGUCGUAUGAUUCCUUCUUAGGGCGACAUCAAUGUUGCAUCAAUGUCUCAUAUAAACAUAGCAUUUGCAUGGAGGAGGCCCCGGGUUCAAUUCCCGGCAAGGCCC